rnacentral:rRNA from 1 species
CAGCCGCCGCGGUAAUACAGAGGAUGCAAGCGUUAUCCGGAAUGAUUGGGCGUAAAGCGUCUGUAGGUGGCUUUUCAAGUCCACCGUCAAAUCCCAGGGCUCAACCCUGGACAGGCGGUGGAAACUGGGAAACUUGAGUGCAGAAGAGGAGAGUGGAAUUCCACGUGUAGCGGUGAAAUGCGUAGAGAUGUGGAGGAACACCAGUGGCGAAGGCGACUCUCUGGUCUGUAACUGACGCUGAGGAGCGAAAGCGUGGGGAGCGAACAGGAUUAGAUACCCGCGUAGUCCCUGUCUCUUAUAC